GUACAGGUCCUAUCAUGAUGUGUAUUAUUAAUUUUAUGAUCUUUUGCAAUGGACGCAUGUUCUUCCACAAGUCUAUAAAUGCAACUAGUUCUAUCCAGAAUGCUGAUUUUAUUUAUGAUUGCCUUAGAGAGGUGGUUGUUGAGGAGAUUGGGGCUAAGGUUGUCGUUCAGAUUGUCACAGAUAAUGGCUCCAACUACAAGAAAGCAUGUCGGCAGCUCAUUGCUCAGUAUCCACAUAUUACUUGGCAGCCAUGUGCAGCUCAUACUAUCAAUUUGAUGUUGAAGGACAUAGGACGUUUUCCAGAGGUCACGGAAGUCGUGGAUAGUGCAAAGCGAAUUUGUAGAUUCUUUUAUAACCAUAACAGGCUGCAUGCUAUGAUGAGGGAGCAGAUUGGUUGAGAGUUAGUUCGAUGGAAUGCCACCAGGUUUGGUACAGUUUUCAUCUUCCUUGAAAGUUUCUGGGAUAGGCAAGAUAAGUUUAAAGCAUGGAUGGUGUCUGAUGACUGGACCAACAGUGCGUGGAGGGAUGAAGAGGACCAUGAAUUCACAUAUGAUUGUUUGAUAAAUAGAAGAUGGUGGAGUGACAUGGAAUUGGUGUUGAAAGCUGUCACACCAAUAUACUCUGUACUUCGCUUUGCUGAUCAACAGAAAAGUGCAUCUAUAUCUGGACUCCUUCCAAAGAUGUUGAAAGUCAUAGAUGACAUACGUGCUACUAAGCAAUAAGGAAGAUCUCCGUGAUAGGAUAAUGGAAGUAAUCAACACGAGACUUCGAUAUCUUCUCAAUGAAACGCUCAUGGCUGCAGUGCAAAGAGAGGGUUAUUUGGAGGAGAGGAGGC